AAUCAUGCGAUGAUACCCUAACCUUUACUAGAUAUAUAUUGAGGGAGUGAUCCCCGAAUUAGUAUUGUCUAUAUGAUACAGGCGAUGAUCCUUAGGAAAAGUUCUUAGGAACAAACAUAUAAUGAAAUAAGAUGUAAGGAGAUGAGAGGUAAACAUGAUAUAGGAGAUGACCCUUAGGAUAAUAUCUUUUGGGAAGAUUAAAUGAAGAUAAUGGGAAUGGGUAAUUGAGUUGAUUGUUUGAUAAUGGAAUAUAAUAAAUGUAUUAUUGUGGGUUGAAAACCCUAUACGCUCACCAGGCUCCCAAGCCUGACCCACUCAGUUUUCUUUGCAUUAUAGGUGAUGGCACAAGAGUAUAAGUUGGUGGACUUGACGAGAGAUUUUGGAUUAUAGAUCAGUAGUUAUAAAUAACUGUUGUAAGGUUUAUUUUAUAUUGUUUAUGCUUUUGGUCUGUAUCGAACAUGACAUCCCGAGGUUUUAUUAUUUAAUGAAAAUACAUUCUCUUUGAGAAACGUUUUGAUAAAUUUUAUCAUAUUUUAUUUUGGGAACAAAUUCCGCAACUCUUUUAAUCAAAAGAUUACUCUGAUUUUAUAAAACAAAGCAUAAACAAAUCGGUCUUUUCUGGCCGUGAAAUUGGGGAUGUUACAGUUGGUAUCAGAGCAUUAGUUUAAGCGAACUAGGAAUUUGUAGGAUUUCUAGACUUAAACUUAGGAUGCUAAGUGGAGAUUGUGAGAUGUGUGUCUGUUAAAUUUUAGACACGGGCACUAGCUUACCUUAGGAAAGCUGCCUAAGAUGAUUUUAUGUGCUAAAUGUUAUAUGUUGCCGUAUAUGAUAUUAUUUGUUCGGAUCUAUGGUCUGUUGCCGACCGGAUCUGGAAACCUUAUAUGUGUAGGAUUCUAAGCGUACGACUACGGUAUUAGAACUAGCAUGUAAAUGUUUUGGAGUGAUAAGGAUGACUUGAAUAUCUGUCGUGAAUAAGGAUCUAAUUUCACCUUAUUCGGUGUAUAGAUCAAAAUGACAAGAACCAGGAGUGGAGCUAGAAACGUGAACGAAAACAGGAAUCAACCACCUGUGGUUGAGCGAGUGGCUGUGGUAGCAGCAACACCUGAACCAAUCACAAUGGCUGGAGUGCGAACCAUGAUUCAAGCCAUGAUGGUUGAACAAAAGGACGAAAUGAGACAAUUGUUGCUGAACAACAGGAGUGAACCCUCAAUACCAGUUGAACAGCCUGAGCUGAAUGAGGGGCAGUCAGAGGAAGGGAACUAUAGUGGGACCACUGGUCAAGCCAACCCACAAAUAGUUCGCCGAAACAAUUAGGAUGGAGAAAAUGAUGGACGUGGAUGCAAGUACAAGGAUUUCAUGGCAUCCAAACCACCAUGUCUUUCUGGGAGCCCGACACCGGUGCAAGUCAUGGACUGGAUCUCCGAGAUGGAGACAAUGUUUGAAAGUUGCGAGUGUAGCAACAGACAGAAGACCGCUCUUGCAAUCCCUCUGUUAAAAUCUGGAGUACUGAGCUGGUGGAAGUUACUGGCUGGUUCAAUGCCCAAGGGGGAAGCUAGCAAGAUGUCUUGGGAAGAGUUCGUGGAGCAAAUGAAAAUGCAAUACUGCUCUGAGCAGGAUCUUCUGGAAAUCAACAAUGAGUUCCAAAAUUUAAAGAAGGGAAAAUUGAGCGUCACUGAAUACGCUACAAGCUUUACGGAGAAGAUGAAGCUUAUUCCAUACCUAAUUCCAACUGAACUUUCCAAGGUCAACAAGUUUGCCAAUGGAUUACCAGCGGACUUUGGUCCGAUAGUCAAACAAGCAACCACUCUGAAAGCCGCCAUCUGGGCAGCCAAGAAUGUUGAGACCCAAAUAAAAGAAAAGGGUCUGGAAAGAGCUGAAGUUGGAGAGAAAAGGAAGCGUGAAGGAUCUUCAAUAAUCGACAAAGAAAGNUUUGCCAAUGGAUUACCAGCGGACUUUGGUCCGAUAGUCAAGGAAGCAACCACUCUGAAAGCCGCCAUCUGGGCAGCCAAGAAUGUGGAGACCCAAAUAAAGGAAAAGGGUCUAGAGAGAGUUGAAGUUGGAGGGCAAAGGAAACACGAGGGAUCUUCAAUGAUCGACAAAGAAACCAAACUCUCGAAAUCCGGAGGAAAAGAUGAAACCAAGUGGUGUGAAAAGUGCAAGACAAAGCACUUCGGAAGAUGCGAUGGAGAAGUGACCUGCUAUAAGUGUGGUAGGACCGGUCACUAUUCCAGAGAUUGUACAUUCGACAAUAGGAAGUGCUACGAAUGUGGAGAUGGUGGUCAUAUUUCGAAGAACUGCCCAAAGAAGGACAAAGCUGCAAAGAAAAAUGUACCGCCACAGCCAAGGGCAUUCCACAUGAUCCUCGACGAAACGAAUCAAGGAUGAGGAUUUUAUAUCCAACGAUCAAGUUAUGAAGUAACAGUGCGAAUAGUAACUUAUGAUGUAGCCUAUUAGAGGCAUAGUAUAGGGUCAACUUGAACUUUUGUGUAAUAGUUUCAAGAAUUGAUAUAAACCCUGGUUUUGUUAUCUGAUGUGUUGAAUGAUUAUAUGAUUUAUGUAUGGUGACUUAGUUAACUGCGAGACAAUACUUGGGACGAGUAUGAGUAGGUGUGAAUGGUAGUAGAGAUCUAUACUACCGGAAGCACAUGACUCACGCUUGGAUCAUGGGAAGUCGCAAGGUUACCAAGAAGCUAGUAAUUGAUUCCAUUUUAUUCAAGCAUGUCAUUACCAUUGUUUCGGUAAUGACUAGUAAAACGGUUGUUAUUCCGACCCUAGUGGUCAUAUCAAUUGAGUCUGACUAUGAUAAGAGGUCAUCGGGACACGACCCAUCGGUUUGUUACAAUAGAUAAAUGAAACUAUUUAUCCUGAGAAGAAGAAGGAGUCCACAAUAAGGACUUAUUUUGUAACUUGGAAGUUAUGAUAGAAAGUACAGCAUAGUACGAUAAGCAGAUGCAAGAUUGGGCAUCAUCUGCGGUCAAGAAAGCCAUAGAGUUAAAUACUCUAUCGAAGAAACAUUGAAGUUAAGGUUAUUCCCUAGGAUGAAGAGAUAACGUGUGGAAUCAUUAUGCAAGUCCUAUUUCGUUGAUGAUUCCGGGACGUAAUCAUCCUAAGGGGGAGAUAAUUGUAACGCCCGUAGAUCCGGGCUAGUCAAUUUAGAGACAAUAACCGUCAAAAAUUACUUUUUGAUAGAAGAUUAUUUAGGAUGAAUCAUCCUAACUAAGUUGUAGUAUAUGUUACAAGGUUUCCGUGCAUAUAAAGAACGCCAAAAUCCGAGUUAUAACGAAGAAGUUAUCACUUGUUGAAGUUUCGCGACAGAACCGGCACAACGCUGAAUGACGUAAAAAGUGAAUUUACGUUAGAGUGAUAUUUAGCCUUAGCGAUCUAAACGAGAAUCGAAGAUCUCGUUGUUAGUAGCGAAACGACGAAAAGUUAGGCAAGAACGGACGUCGGACGAAGAAGUUAUGAAUUUAUAACGAAAUUUUCUGUCCCGACCUAUUAAAAAUAAAUAAUAAAAAUAAAAGUCAAAAUUAGCCGACGGAGUCUAAACGAAAGUCGUAGAGCGUAGUCUCACCUACGCGUGGAUAUAAAGAACGUCGAAAACGGAGUUCGUAUGAAGAAGAUAUGAAUUUUCGAAGUUUAUUAAAUAAUUAAUAAUUAAAUUUAAUUAUUAAAUCCCGGUAUUAUCCGAAGACGAGUCAUCGGACUCAUCCGAAGUACGCCCCGCGUACAGCGAAGCAUGACGACCUUCGCACUCGAGUUCUUCGGAUGACGCAUGCAGUGACGUUUCGGACGUGUACGCCCCGCGUACUCCGAGGCUCCAGCCUCCUAUAAAUAGGAUGCGAGGGCAGCCGGCUCAUUUGCUAUUUUUCUCUUUUCUCUCUCCCGUUUUGAAUCGAUUUGCAUGCCAGAAGUACCCCGAAAGCCCCGAUAAUAUUCUCGAGCCCCGAAGCAAGUCCUGAGAUCCCGAACAUCGCGAGAAGUGCGAUUCCCGUGCCGAAGCUCUGCCCGCGGGAAGUUCGAUUUUUGUAGAGAUCUUCCAGAUCUGCUGAGGAUUACUACUUCUGCAAGCCGUAGUGUUGUCCGGGCAUCGUCUAAUCAUGUGAGUGUGUAGUUACUUUCUUCUAGCGCAUAAUUAUGAAGUAUUUGCUAUGAAAUACGUGCUAUGUGUUAUAUAUUAAUUGUCUAUAUGAGAUGGGCUUGGAAUUGAUGUUUUUGUAUGGGUGUUAAAUGAUUUACAUUAUAUAUGUAAUUUAUAUCUACAAAUAUGUUGGGUAGAACAUGGGUAGAUGAAAUAGUUGAUGUGUGUUGAAAGAAUGUGAUAAGAGAAAGGUGAGGAUAUAAUGGUGAUGAUAAUUAGGUGAUGAUAGAUAGGUGAUGAAUUUACGAGUCCAGGCGAUGUUGUGGCUACGUAUUCAUGCGAUGAUAGUCUAUCCCUUAUUAUGAAUUACGAGUCCAGGCGAUGUUGUGGCUGCGUAUUCAUGCGAUGAUAGUCUAACCCUUAUUAUGAUUUAUGAGUCCAGGCGAUGUUGUGGCUGUGUAAUCAUGCGAUGAUACCCUAACCUUAACUAGAUAUAUAUUGAGGGAGUGAUCCCCUAAUUAGUAUUGUCUAUAUGAUACAGGCGAUGAUACUUUGGAAAAGUCUUAGGAACAAACAUAUAAUGAAAUAAGAUGUAAGGAGAUGAGAGGUAAACAUGAUAUAGGAGAUGACCCUUAGGAUAAUAUCGUUUGGGAAGAUUAAAUGAAGAUAAUGGGAAUGGGUAAUUGAGUUGAUUGUUUGAUAAUUGAAUAUAAUAAAUGUAUUAUUGUGGGUUGAAAACCCUAGACGCUCACCUGGCUCCCAAGCAUGACCCACUCAGUUUUCUUUGCAUUACAGGUGAUGGCACAAGAGUAUAAGUUGGUGGACUUAACGAGAGAUUUUGGAUUAUAGAUCAGUAGUUAUAAAUAACUGUUGUAAGGUUUAUUUUAUAUUGUUUAUGCCUUUGGUCUGUAUCGAACAUGACAUCUCGAGGUUUUAUUAUUUAAUGAAAAUACAUUCUCUUUGAGAAACGUUUUGAUAAAUUUUAUCAUAUUUUAUUUUGGGAACAAAUUCCGCAACUCUUUUAAUCAAAAGAUUACUCUGAUUUUAUAAAAUAAAGCAAAAACAAAUUGGUCUUUUCUGGCCGUGAAAUUGGGGAUGUCACAUUAAUGGGAACCAAGGAAGUAGAGGAGGAAAUCAGGGAAACAAUGAAAAAGAAUGUAGCUACAAGUCCUUUAUGGCCUGUAAACCUAAGGAAUUCCAUGGAAUGGAAAGUGCGGUCGGGUUGCUGAAAUGGAUUGAUGGCAUGGAGUCGGUCCUUCACAUUAGCAAAUUCCGCGAACU
rnacentral:lncRNA from 1 species